GCAGCUGCCUUAGCGUUUUUGAGUCAGGAGAGCCGAACGCGGGCCGGGGGUGUCGGGGGCCUACGGGUCCCGGCCCCGGUCACUAUGGACAGUUUUUUCUUCGGCUGUGAGCUCUCCGGCCACACCCGCUCCUUCACCUUUAAGGUAGAGGAAGAGGAUGAUGCGGAGCACGUGCUGGCACUAACCAUGCUCUGCCUCACCGAGGGAGCCAAAGACGAGUGUAAUGUGGUAGAAGUUGUGGCCCGGAACCAUGACCAUCAGGAGAUCGCAGUCCCUGUGGCCAACCUCAAGCUGUCCUGCCAACCCAUGUUACGAUGAGCAAUGAUGUUUCUGAGGAGGAGAGCGAGGAAGAGGAAGAGGAAGAGGACAGUGAUGAGGAAGAAGCUGAGCUGUGCCCCAUCCUUCCUGCCAAAAAGCAGGGGGGCAGGCCCUAGCCCUCCUUGGUCAGCUCCAUGCGCCAUGCACCCUGUUCCCUGA
rnacentral:sRNA from 1 species